rnacentral:rRNA from 1 species
GAUGAACGCUAGCUACAGGCUUAACACAUGCAAGUCGCGGGGCAGCAUGGGGGUUGCUUGCAAUCCCCGAUGGCGACCGGCGCACGGGUGAGGAACGCGUAUCCACCCUGCCCUUCACCACGGGAUAACCCGGCGAAAGUCGGACUAAUACCGUAUGUUGUCCAUUGACGGCAUCCGAUUUGGACGAAAGGCUUGGCGGUGAGGGAUCGGGAUGCGUCCGAUUAGCCAGACGGCGGGGUAACGGCCCACCGUGGCUACGGUCGGUAGGGGUUCUGAGAGGAAGGUCCCCCACACUGGAACUGAGACCCGGUCCAGACUCCUACGGGAGGCAGCAGUGAGGAAUACUGGUCAAGGGGCGUAAGCCUGAACCAGCCAAGUAGCGUGCAGGAUGACGGCGCUAUGGGUUGUAAACUGCUUUUAUGCGGGGAUAAAGUGGCGUACGUGUGGGCUUUUGCAGGUACCGCAUGAAUAAGGACCGGCUAAUUCCGUG